CAGCCGCCGCGGGAAUACGAAGGGUGCAAGCGUUAAUCGGAAUUACUGGGCGUAAAGCGUGCGUAGGCGGUUUGUUAAGUCUGUUGUGAAAUCCCCGGGCUCAACCUGGGAAUGGCAAUGGAUACUGGCAAGCUAGAGUGUGUCAGAGGAUGGUGGAAUUCCCGGUGUAGCGGUGAAAUGCGUAGAGAUCGGAAGGAACAUCUGUGGCGAAGGCGACUAUCUGGGCCAACACUGACGCUGAGGCACGAAAGCGUGGGGAGCAAACAGGAUUAGAUACCCCGGUAGUCCCUGUCUCUUAUAC
rnacentral:rRNA from 1 species